GAUGAACGCUGACAGAAUGCUUAACACAUGCAAGUCAACUUGAACUUCGGUUUGGGUGGCGGACGGGUGAGUAACGCGUAAAGAACUUGCCUCACAGCUAGGGACAACAUUUGGAAACGAAUGCUAAUACCUGAUAUUAUGAUUAUAUGGCAUCGUAUAAUUAUGAAAGCUAUAUGCGCUGUGAGAGAGCUUUGCGUCCCAUUAGCUAGUUGGAGAGGUAACAGCUCACCAAGGCGAUGAUGGGUAGCCGGCCUGAGAGGGUGAUCGGCCACAAGGGGAACGAAACCACGCCCCUACCCCCUCCGGAGGGAGGAGGUGGGAAAUAUGGGAAAAGGACCGGGGAGCCUGAUCAAGCAUUCCUGGGUGAACAAUGAGGUUUUUGGAAAGGAAAGGUGCUUCCGGUUGGAAAGAAAAAAUGACGGUACCAACAGAAGAAGUGACGGCUAAAUACGUG
rnacentral:rRNA from 1 species